GUACACGCUGUGACUAGCAUAUCAAUAAGCGGAGGAAAAGAAACUAACAAGGAUUCCCUCAGUAACGGCGAGUGAAGCGGGAAGAGCUCAAAUUUGAAAUCUUCAAGGUUUUACCUUGACGAAUUGUAGUUUAAAGAAGUGUUUUCUGCUGAAGUUUUGGUAAAAGUUCUUUGGAAUAGGACAUCAUAGAGGGUGAGAAUCCCGUAUUUGACCAUUAUUUUCAGCUUCGUGAUACACUUUCAAAGAGUCGGGUUGUUUGGGAAUGCAGCCCAAAACGGGAGGUAAAUUUCUUCUAAGGCUAAAUAUUGGCGAGAGACCGAUAGCGAACAAGUACCGUGAGGGAAAGAUGAAAAGAACUUUGAAAAGAGAGUUAAAUAGUACGUGAAAUUGUCAAAAGGGAAGCGUUUGACACCAGUGUUGUUUUCUCGAAAAUCAAUUAAAAAUGGCUCGAUUUUGUAUUGCUGAGACCUUAAAAGCUCACUGUACAUUUUUCGUGUCUUUUUUAAUGCACUUUUCGUUUAACAAGUCAACAUCAGUUUCUUUUGUUGUAAAAGGGUCAUUGGAAGGUGGCUUUCUUUUCGGAGAAAGUGUUUAUAGCCUUUGGCCUCUGCAAUCGGAGAGACUGAGGUCUGCAGCGUAGACUCUUCGGGGUUAGAUACAUUUGUGCUAAGUUAUAGCUUUUUAUAGACAACUUGUUGACUAUAAUUAGUCUUGUAGCUUACUCGCUUAUGCUAUUUUACCUACGCUUAGGAUGUUGAGUAGCGACAUACGCAC
rnacentral:rRNA from 1 species